rnacentral:rRNA from 1 species
AAGGAAUAUUGGUCAAUGGACGCAAGUCUGAACCAGCCAUGCCGCGUGAAGGAUGAAGGUCCUCUGGAUUGUAAACUUCUUUUAUCUGGGACGAAAAAAGGGCUUUCUAGCUCACUUGACGGUACCAGAGGAAUAAGCACCGGCUAACUCCGUGCCAGCAGCCGCGGUAAUACGGAGGGUGCAAGCGUUAUCCGGAUUUACUGGGUUUAAAGGGUGCGUAGGUGGGCAGGUAAGUCAGCGGUGAAAUCUCCGAGCUUAACUCGGAAACUGCCAUUGAUACUAUCUGUCUUGAAUAUCCUGGAGGUGAGCGGAAUAUGUCAUGUAGCGGUGAAAUGCUUAGAUAUGACAUAGAACACCAAUUGCGAAGGCAGCUCACUACGGGGUCAUUGACACUGAGGCACGAAAGCGUGGGGAUCAAAC